UUCGAAUCCAGAAAUGCAGCAGCUUUCUAAAAAUAUUUGUACAAAGAUUGUGUUUAAAAAUGAAAAUCAAGUCAAAUGAUUCACGAUUUUUCUCUUCCACAAUUAUUACGAUACAUGCACAUGCAAAUUAAUAGAAUUUACAAGGUAGUGACGUACCUUCAAUAGCAAAUAUUAUUAUUAUACUAAUAAUAUCGAUUUUACUGUCAAGACGAAAAAAAAUGAUGACCACAUUGUAUUGGAUUAGGAUUAAAAAUGAAAAAAAAUUAUUUAGCUGUAGCUCGAUAAUCUAUGAGAGUCAAGUUGUGCUUUUUGAUGUUUAUCAGCAACCAUUAUAAAGACUGGUUUUACCAUCUAGCGUGUAGCCAUAGCUUAAAAGUUGAUCAAAUUAUUAUUAUAUAUACCGUUAAAUAUGCAUAUGUAUUCCAACCAUAUAAUCUAUAUCGUUAUAAGCUUGUAAAAUAAGAUUGACCAUUUGUUUCGAAAGAUCUUAAAAUUCGUCUCCCUACUCAUCAGUAAUUGUUAACAAGAUCCGAUAUUCGCGUUACUGAUUAUGAGUGGAUCCGACGGAUCCAUACGAUAAUUAGAAUCUUCAUUCAAUCGGUUCCUCAGGAACUUUGUAAAACCGCCGAACCGAUGAAACGAUGAAAAUCAACGAAGAGCCUCAGUACAAUUACAUAUUUGGUCGCAAUUUUCCAACAACAGAUAUUCAACGUCAAUUUAAACAUUAGAUCGGUACAGUUAUUGCACAUGACCCAUCGAGGCUCUUUGCUGUAGUUUUAUAUAUUAUGUUUCUUUAUCUAUGACUGUGAUAUAAAUAUAUUUGUAACUGUUAUAUUCUGUAAUCUUAUACUUUACAAUAAUCAUUAUCAAUUUUGGUUAGUACGAUAGCUGACAUCAUUUUGUUAUGUAUGUAAUUGUGCUAAUAAAAUGUGCGAAGUUGUAGCGCGA